rnacentral:rRNA from 1 species
GCAAUGCACGAAAGUGUGACGGGGCUACCCCGAGUGCCAUCCGCUGAGGGUGGCUUUUGCUUGGUGUAAUGAGCCAGGCGAAUAAGGAGAGGGCAAGUCUGGUGUCAGCCGCCGCGGUAAUACCAGCUCUCCGAGUUGUAGGGAUGAUUAUUGGGCUUAAAGCGUCCGUAGCCGGCUUAGCAAGUCCUCCGUUAAAUUCAGCAACCUAAUUGUUGAGCUGCGGGGGAUACUACUAGGCUAGGAGGCGGGAGAGGCCGACGGUAUUCUCGGGGUAGGGGUGAAAUCCUAUAAUCCUAGGAGGACCACCAGUGGCGAAGGCGAUCGGCUAGAACGCGCUCGACGGUGAUGGACGAAAGCUGGGGGAGCGAACCGGAUUAGAUACCCGGGUAGUCCCAGCUGUAAACGAUGCGGGCUAGGUGUUGGGGUGGUUACGAACCGCUUCAGUGCCGUAGGGAAACUGUUAAGCUCGCCGUCUGGGAAGUACGGUCGCAAGGCUGAAACUUAA